UCAAAGGAAACAGUUUUUUUCAAUUUUGGAGAAGGACGUCGUUUAUAUAUACAUAAUAUUCGGGAUGCCUUCAUUUUCUCUAUUAUUCACUAUAAAAUGCAAACAAAUGCCUUAUUCUACAAUCGCAAAAUGAUAUUGUCAUAACAAUUAUUAUGUUCUACAGAACGAUUAACAGUUUUAUCGUAUGUGGAAUGUAAUUACAUAUAUAACCUGUCGGUUAACAAGAUUUGUCUCGCUUUUUCUACGAACAGUGGACGUACCUCUUCACAUGUACAUCGUCCAGUAUCUAAAUUAUUCACAAGUUUACAUGAUUUAGUUCAUGUGGUCGGUAACGUUUAGUCAUUCAUUAGUCUGCAUGAUCUGCAGCUCGUCUGAAGUAUCUAAAUCUGUCUUGUACGUCCAACCGCACACAAUACAACAAUAUUUGUCCAACUGAAACAAAACCAUUCUAUAUUGAAGUAAAUCUUCACUUUUUGCUUAGCUUGUCUCCAUUGGCUUCGAGUAUAUAGCAUUCAGGCUCAUUUGCCUAGUCGAUACUGGUAUAUAUAAUAUAAUAUCCAUAAGAACUCCAGGACAGAAAUAUACCCAGACCCUAUAUACUGCAUAUUCAUAGAUGACUGGUAUUCUAUUAAGCUAUGCUGUAUUUUAUGACGGCUUAUAUUUCUCGCUCUGUCAUUUUUUUUUCAUCCAAAAUAAUAUGCUUUCUUUUGUAAAGACCAAACAAUUUAAUCAAAAUGUAUUAGUCGCACAUGGGGCCAUUUGUCAAAAUCGUUUCCUUUUGAUAUGCAUUUGUCCAGGCCGUGAUUUCGUUCAGAUAGGUUAUCAAAUUUAUAUACAUAAAAUUCACUCGGCGCAUCAAUCUUAUAAAGUGAAAAUGACCACACUUCUGUCAGUAACAGAAGACAGAAACAAUGAUACCCCUCCCUUUUGCAUAGUCCUUAUUUUGAUUAAGGAUGACACAUUGGUGACAAAAUCAAGCCUAGUGUUAGCCAACCUGACAUUCUUGAUAUUCUGAGCUAAAUGUUAUUCUUCGCAACAAGAAGGUCUACAUGAAUCGGAGGUAGGCUUAGUCAUUACUGUGCAAUACUCAGUCUGUAAAAAAUUGUUCUUCAUUCACAGAUUCGUAGACGUAUUGUCCCAUUAAUACGGCAUGCUCGGUGUUUAACCGUGUAUAGCAAAUCUGGUAGCCAGUUUGUUCCGACAGUCCACACCAUCGUGUUCACCCGAGACACUUUCCACUUGUUGUUCAUCACAUAUCCCAAAUGGUCAUACAUAUUAUACAAUUUAUGUCGGGUCUACAGACAGAACUACGUCGACACGAUACAAAUAUACUUAUUUUCAUUCUAUCUAAAUUUUAGCAGUAUAAUCUUAUUAAAAGGCAAUCUAUUCUAUAGUUAUGUAGUAGAAAAUAUUAAAUAUAAAAGAUUUGCCUGACACGUGUAUAAAGGUAUAAAGAGAUUAAAGGACCGGAAUUAGAGAAUUGAAUUAUUUCUGUGCACAGGGCUUGGCUCGGGAUUUACGUGGAUUCCUCCGGGACAAGUUCCUUGCCGCGCGGAAUAUUAUCUUUCGGAAAAGUGUUAGUGAUUUUUCUGCCAGUGUUCCAUUAUUUGAUGCCACGUCUCACCGACAAAUCGAUUCGCCAUUGUUCUGUCCAGGGUAAUCCCUCCCUUCGACAGUUUGACUGAUUAUUUGACUCUUCUUCUUUGCGAAUGGCUAAUUAUAGUCUUGAUAGGGGCUCUUUAUUAGGGUUUACGGGGGUUUCCCCGAGAGAAAACGUGUAUCAAACACUAGCGUGCUAUUCCCACGUCUUAUGUCCAAUUAAUUUGCUUCUAGGUUUUUGACUGACGGGACUUUGCAUGCGCCAUUUGAUAACACUGAUUAAUGAACAACUUGGGGUCAUUUGCAUUGAUUUUUGCCUGCAACAAAUGAUUGUCGUUAAAUUUACGACAGCAAAUUUUCCAUUGACAUGUGUAUUCAUUUCUGGCAGCCGAGCCAUUAGUUCCCGAUGAUCUAAAAUGGAUUAUUUCAACGAAACCUUAUGAAAUUUUAUCAUUAACGUAUUAUGGUUUGAUUAGUUUCUCACGUUGAACGUGGCUAAAUGUUGGGUCAGUUGGAGUGUAUACUUUUACGUAAAUAAAAAGAACUGUGUAGUCGAAUAUGCAUGACGAUAAAAAAACAGAAGUGAUAAAUCGUACAUAAUUCAACGUCUUGCAAUAUAAAAGUGCUCUUGGCAGUUUUCCUAUAUUCUGUCAGUGGUAACUCCUCUCAUCUGUUAUCUUGCAAAUGCUCAUGGAAGCAGUGUCGAGUGUUUUACGCAUUAUAUAUCAAUUAAUGACUUGUUCUUUGACAGCUGUUUAUAUAACGCGUGUGAUGAUUGGUUGGAAUCGCCAAAAUGUCUCAUGGGGCGGGGCUAGUGUCAAUUGCGGAAAUACGGUAUCAUCUUUUUAGAGAAAAAUAACUAGGUCGGCAGUAAAUAUGUAUAUCUCGGUGUGGAUUAAUUCCAUUCAAAUGCUUGACGUGACCGUAACAAAGUCAAGCCAUUAGGCACGCAUGCAUUGUACGGACUAUCAUUUCAUGGAUUUAAUGAAGCAUGUGUUCGGGGAUAUAUGUGGUACUUGAAUAUUUUGUGGAGGGAAUGAUGUUGACCUUGUCCGCCUGGAUACCUGGUUAUCCUGGUUGAAAAAAGGGAGAGUCACAGAAUGAUCAAACAGUCAUGCAGCAAAUGAGGAUGCGUGAACGAAGUUUAGGCAAAUUUUGCUGAUAUGAAGUUCUGCAAAUAGACCAGGUAUCAAGGUGGGGCAAUGAAGAUAAGUACGGAUGCAUUUCGAAUGGUCAAUACAAGUCUACUGGGCUAGGGAGAAUCGCUUUAGAAUAUGACCGUUGUGUCAUCGUAAAACGACCAAAUCCACUUACAAAAUUAUCAUGGUAAUCUUGAAUGUGUAUUUUUUUAAAUACUUAAUAAUUAUUUUAAUUUACUUUUGAAAUCCUUAUCAGUAUAAUAACUCAUGAAACUUGAGGAAAGGAAACGUUCACUCUAAAUGACAUAUUUUAAAAUGGCAUAUUAAUUAGUACCAAAUUUACAUGCUCAUUGAAUGUACAUGAGAUGAUAAUCUUAGUAAGGAUGUGUAGUGUUCAUGGAGAAAAUCCAUGUAUUUAUCAUGUAACAUCGAAGCGAAAAUGACAAAAUAAUAUUGGACGAAGUGAUGCAAAGAACCCAUUUAUCUUAUAUGGCAAAUGAUUUACGAAGACUACCUUUUAGAUCUGAUUGCACUGGCAGACAAGACACGAGAGAAUAGGCAUCUGCAUUUCAAUAUAUUUACCUCUUAUAAUUUUUGGAAGAAGUUUUCGUCGUGACAACCGCUAGAAUGUAACUUUUGUUAUGCAUUUUGAAAAACAGUACCCAGAUAUCAGCAGUAAGUUUUGGCAAUGAAGUUUUGUUUUGACAUUUAACAAUGAGCUGCGUGACAGUGAAAUUAAAGAACAGAGACAGCACUGCCGACGAAGAUAUAAAAAUGGGAAGACAAAAUGAUCCAUUUGUAUCCCUGGGACGUGAAUCUGAAUAUGCAGAAAACAUGUUUGUUGGAUCAUUAGAAUACUGAGUGAGCUGUAGCCAGUUGUGAUAAAAAUAAGCUGUCUUUAUUAAAAUUUGUUCAAAGCAAGGAGCA
rnacentral:lncRNA from 1 species